GACGAACGCUGGCGGCGUGCUUAACACAUGCAAGUCGAACGGAAAGGCCCUGCUUGCAGGGUACUCGAGUGGCGAACGGGUGAGUAACACGUGGGUGAUCUGCCCUGCACUUCGGGAUACGCCUGGGAAACUGGGUCUACUACCGGAUAGGAGCCAUUUUUAGUGUGAUGGUUGGAAAGUUUUUUCGGUGUAGGAUGAGCUCGCGGCCUAUCAGCUUGUUGGGGGGGUAAUGGCCUACCAAGGCGGCGACGGGUAGCCGGCCUGAGAGGGUGGACGGCCAUAUUGGGACUGAGAGAAGGCCCAGACUCCGACGGGAGGCAGCAGGGGGGAAGAUUGCACAAUGGGCGCAAGCCGGAUGCAGAAACGCCGCGUGGGGGAUGACGGCCUUCGGGUGGUAAACUCCGUUCGCUAGGGACGAAGCUUGUUGUGACGGUACCUAGAGAAGAAGCACCGGCUAACUACGUG
rnacentral:rRNA from 1 species